GCCGGAUUGGCGGAACGGCAUACGCGGCGGUCUCAAACACCGCUGCCCGAAAGGGCUUGUGGGUUCGAAUCCCACAUCCGGCACC
rnacentral:tRNA from 1 species